ensembl:lncRNA
UUAAAGUAAAAUUAAACCCGCGGUGAUACCUUGAUGGCUGCAUUUUUUUAUGGAUCCUGCCCAAAUGCCCAUGAUGGCAAACCUUUACCUCUGAACCUCCUGGUAUGAUACUGGUAUUAGUUCUUUUGUCAUGCUGGAAAAAUCUUCCUUCUACUUUUCUAGUUUUUCCAGGAAAAACAGACAGACAUGAUCGAGUCACUGCUGCCUUCGAUCCUUCAGUAUUCACUUCAUGCAGUGCAGGUUAAAGGUCAUCUUCAUCUACUCUCACCUUCUCUGCGGGUCACCUCCUCCUGGUCAUGCCUGGAUAACCUUGAAGGAGAGGGGCAUCCUAAUCAUGCCUGAACCACCUCAGGAUGGAGUCAGAAUCUGUCCUGUGGCGUCGGAAAUUGUGUUAAGUAUUUUCCUGGCUUCACUGUAUCACACUGAAACAUGGUCACAAAACUCUUGGAGCUCAGCAGGAUGGAUGGACUCUCAAGCACUCAGAGCAAAGGCAUACAACAGUACCACGAGAUGUCAAACUGGGAUCUCAGAGCUGGGUUGCAGGGGCAACAGCCUAAACAGUGAAGUCCAGACCUUGCUAUCUCCAGCCACCUCCUCCAGUUUAUCUCGGGGAACUGCAAGGCAUGCCCUGGCCAGCCCAGAGAUCUCUCCAGCGUUUUCUGUGUCUCCUCCGGCACCUCCUCCAAGCUAGACAUGCCCAGAACAGCUCACACAGGAGGUGCCAAAGAGGCAUUCUAGUCAGAUGUCCAAAUGACCUCCACUGGUUCCUUUCGAUGGGGAGUAGCAGCGACUAAUGACUAAACUCCUGACACUAUCUCUAAGGGAGAGGCCAGCUACCCUCUAGAGAAAGCUAAGUUCUGCCACUUGUAUCCGCAACCUUGUUCUUUUGGUCACUACCCAUCACUCAUGCUCAUAGUUCACAGCAGGGAAGUAGCUUAAUUGGUAAGAUAAGAUAAGAUAAGAUAUGAUAAGAUAAGAUAAGAUAAGAUAAGAUAAGAUAAGAUAAGAUAAGAUAAGAUAAGAUGAACUUUAUUUAUCCCGGGGGAAAUUCUUUUGUCAUACACAUGCUCAAUGCAGCAAGAGAGACAGAGGAGCAGAGGAAUAAGAUAUACAAUAUGUACAAUAGAAUACAAGUAUACAGUAAUAUACAGUAGGAUAGUGCAAAAUAUAAUAUCAAAUAACUGUAACAAGUAACAAUAUAACUAUAAAUCGACAGCUCUGUUCUCCCCUAGGUUUUGUAGAUUUGGAGGUGCUGAUUCUCAUUACUCCUGCGUCACACUCGACUCCAAACCACUUCAGUGUGAGCUGGAAGCCACCCCCUGAUGAAACCAACAGAACCACAUCAUCUUGAAAAAAGCAGAGAUGAGAUUGUGAGGCUACCAAUGUAGAAGCCUUCCACCACCUGGCUAUGCCUGGAAAUACUGUCCAAAAAAGUUUACGAACAGAAUCAGUGACACAGGCCGACCUUUGUCACUUGCGGAGUCCAACACUCACCAGGCACACAGUCCAACUUAUUGGUUUUCAUCUUGGUGGUUGAAGGGAGGAUGCCCAACCAGUCUACAUGUGUUUUGUGGACUGGAGAAGGCAUUUGACUGUGUCCCUCAGGGUGUCCUGUGGAGGGUGUUUCAGGAGGAUGGAGUCUCUGAGCCAUUCUGUCCAUGUACAACCAUUGCAAGAGUUUUGUCUGCAUUGCCAGGAAUAAGUAGGACUCUAUUGUAAAAAUGCAUUAGAAAAAAGCUCCAGUGUGUACAAAAAAGAGGAAAAAAUAGUUAAUACUACUACUACUACCUCUUCAAAUGGCUUCCUAAAUUUCAAAAACCUGCUAGAAUAAAUUUCAUUAAACCAAUAACUGUUGAGUUAACAAUUUGCAAUACUCCCUUUACCGCCUGCUUUAUCUCAGGUCAGCCUUAGACAAGUGUAAAGCAAAAAGUACGCCCAAAUGAGCAACUGCUUUGCAGUCCGCCAGUUUUAUUUCCCCUUUAGAACAACUAAAAGUGUCAUUAAUGCUAAGAUGGCUCAGCUAUGAGCAAAGCAAAUGUCUUGCACUCCUGAGGAACAUCUGGGGAACUUUUAUUUAUGAUUUUUCCACCCAUAUUCAUUCUAAUAAACAAGGCUACUGCAGUCCAGUAACAGUCCAACCUUAAUCUGCUCUUUAAUUACAGUUCCCUGUUCCUUUUAUACAUUUUUCUUUCAUUAGAAUAAUUACUUAAAGAAGUGAUACUUAGACGUGUACAGUAAACAGAAUCCAUUUUGCAAAUAGUUUGCUAUAACUCAGUUUGCUUAUAAUACUUGCGCAAUCAAGUUCAAUUCGAUUCAGUCUAAUUCAGUUCAGGUUUAUUCAUGUAGCACUAAAUCACAACAGCAGUUGCCUAAAGUUGCUGUAUACUGUAAAGACAGACACUAAGUUGUUCAGGUGAAAACAGACAGUGGGAGGCAGAACCUCCCUUUUAACAGGAAGAAACCUCAGUUAGAACCAGGCUUAGGCCUUUAACCUUUAACCAAAUAUUUUUAAUUGUGAAAAUGCUUUUUUCCCUCUGACCAACUCUCAGUAUGAGGUCCAAAUAGAUGUCUUGAUGCAUGCUCAAUCAUCCAGGUAAGUAAAUCCUCAAAAGUUGAUUCUGUUCAUCUGGACGUAGCGUUUCAUCACUCAUCCAAGUGACUUCUUCGGUCUCAGCUGACUGCAGGUUUCCCUAAUCUUAUAAAUGCUGGUGCAAGUAGAGGAAGCUAUCACUAGGAGUGCCUAAAUCAUUAGUAUGGUACAGUCAUUAAAAGAAUAAUGCACCAGCUUAAUAACACAAAAGGCCUAAAAAGCUUGAAAAGGGACUUAAAUGAAUUGUGAGAAUUCUUAUCUUAGUUAAGAAAGAUGCUUUCACAACACCUGACCAAGUCAGAAACACUCUUGAGGAGAUAGCUGUGUCGUUAUCAAGCAUGGCUGCCAGUGGAACCAGGUCAGUACUGCUUAUUGAUAAUGUGACUGUUGAUAGAAGCAGCAGGAUGAAUUCUGUAGUAUACAGGGCUAUACUCUCUGCUGAGAUUUAGCCAAAUGCUGAUCUGAGAGUGCUUCACAGUGCAAAUGGAUAAUGACCCAAAGCAUACAACAAAAGCAGCCCAAGGUAUUCUUUGCUUUGAGUUUCUCAAAGCAAAGAAGCUCAUUCAAAGGAUUUUUAAAACAAUCCUCAUAUCUAAAGUCAUCUUUGAUUGUCCAGUUUCAAAAUUGGGCACUAUGUAGAAAAAUGUCUGAAAUUCCUGAAAGGUUAUUGCAAUAAUUCUGUCAAACCUCCUGAAUUAAAUCUGAAAGUUUGCAGCUUCAAUCAUAUCUUUGAUGUGAUUGAAGUGCAGAUUUUGUUUGAUUUAAAAUCCACUGAGCUGGUGCACAGAGGCAAAAUGACAAAUAAUGUGUGUGUUAAAAAACUUCAGUUGCUCAGUAAAGCAAAACACAAUAAGACAAAGGUAUAAGCUAAUCUAUAAUAAAUACAAUAAAGUAAAAAUGAACAUAUAUUUAAAUAAACAUCAACAAAGCAAAACAGAAUUUAAAACUGUUAGCUGACAACAUUAAGUGGUUUAUUAUAUAUGUAAAGCAUAAUGGACGGUGCAGUAAAAUAAAGCGACUUACAGUCUGUUGUUGUGAGAGUGCAAAGUUGAAAUAAAACUGCAGACAGAUAAACCUCUGCUAGACAGGUGUGUUGUAAUUCAGAGAGUUAUUGCCUGAGGUAUGAAAGAUGUCCUGUCCUUGUAGCAGUGGAGAUCAAUAAGUCUGUUAGAGAAAGUGCCUCCCCGCAUCACCAGUGUUUUUAUAUAUUAAUAAAGGUGUUCUUCAUCAGGGACAAACUUCUGCAAUCAUGCACCAGAGUUGUCUUCUGUGAUAAAAAAAAAAGAAAUAUGAACCUUAUAUUGUGAUUUCCCAAUUAUAAAAUCCAAAUGCAGAGAUUCAAAACUUAAAUUGGACAUUAAAUAAGGAACAAUCAGGGCACAACUAACCACAGAACUAGUUAUCAGUCAGCUGUCCAGUUACUUUUGUUGCAGUAUUUUUUUUCGCAAAGCUCUUUCAGUUGCUUCUUGAUUGCUUCAUUUGAAAUCUAUUGCAUUGUUGUUCAGUCUGGUAACUGCUGGGAUGAACUAUUUUUGUCAUUCUACACAGACUCCCAUCUUAAAAUGUCCAGCUUUACAGGAAAUCUGUAUAAUUUCCAUUUGAAUUGUACAAAGACUUGGCACCCUUAAUUAUGUGGGUGCAGUUGCUUUGAGUCUAUUCAAAGUACUUGUUUGGUCUACAGUGAUGUGACAUGGAAAUAAAUACAUAUAUUUUUAAGUGAGCUUUAGUAUUUGAGACAACUGAUCCACCACUGAUCAUUUCAAUACAUUUUUUAUACAUAGAUAUCAUUAUAAAGUAAUAUAUAUAAUUUAGAACUUAUAUUUGUAAUUAUAUAAUAAUUAUAUGUGAAAAGUCAAAGUUCAGUGAGACUAGUAUCAUACACUAAUAUUAACAAGCUUCUUAGCUCACUAAAGUUCAAAUUACUCUUGGCUAAAGGGACUGAGCUCUUGGCCUUGGUGUUCUC